ensembl:ncRNA F37B12.11 ncRNA
UCUCUACUCCUACGUCUCUACAUCUCUCCUGAAGGCUUUUCAAUAUUUGUCAGCAUUUUUCCCCUCUAUAUGACGAAUUUCUUUGCAAUUGUCAUCAUGAGCUAGUGAUGAGAUUGUUAGAAAAAUUAAAAUGAACUUAUCAAAAUAAAGUCCAUUCAACAAGCGAAGAGGAGAUGGAAAAUGGAGAACUAUAGAAACAGAAAAACACAGCAAAUAAAGAAGUUGAGAAAACACGAGCGAGCGGAUCAAUAUUUGGACGAUUAAGACGGAACCUAGUGGUUGAUAAGA